rnacentral:rRNA from 1 species
UACGAAGGGGGCUAGCGUUGCUCGGAAUCACUGGGCGUAAAGGGUGCGUAGGCGGGUCUUUAAGUCAGGGGUGAAAUCCUGGAGCUCAACUCCGGAACUGCCUUUGAUACUGAGGAUCUUGAGUUCGGGAGAGGUGAGUGGAACUGCGAGUGUAGAGGUGAAAUUCGUAGAUAUUCGCAAGAACACCAGUGGCGAAGGCGGCAUCCUGGACCGAUACUGACGCUGAGGAGCGAAAGCCAGGGGAGCAAACGGA